CUAGGGCCCAUCUGCCCGUCUGUUUCCCUUCCCUCUGCCGUGGGAUCUGCUUCUCCGUGGUCCAAACAACAAGCUCCAGCCCAGAAAUAGCAUAUGUUUCCAGCCUCUGCUAGCCCAAGUCAUAAAUCGCCCAGUGUGAUGUGCUCCUUGUGUCAGCUUGCUUCAAAACUCGGCAUGGGGGUGGCUGAGUGAGUGUGAGGAGCGUGCAGGGCCUCCUCCAGGCUGAGAAGCUGGGAGCCGGGGUGAGUCCAGGACUGAGGCUCAGGAAGGAGAGACCUGGAAGAGAAAGGGGACUCUGGGGAGCAGGGAGUUAGGAGCCUCCAGUGGGAUCCGGGCGCCGAAAGCAGAGCCUUUCAAUGCUUCAGCUUCACGUGUAUAAUCUAGAUUAUUCACAGCAUUCUCUCAGCAAUGCUCCAAGAUCCAGAGCCGACCCCGGAAGAGCAGAGACUUGGCCAGGAGAGUCCAGAUGAGAAAGUGGCUGAGAGGUGUCAGCCCUGGAGGCCCCCUGAGCCGGAAAUCCCGACAGCUGCCUGGCUCAUGGGGCCUGGGCACUGGGCCCUGACCCAGGGCAGACAGCGGCCGCGUCAGGACCCAGUCCUGGCAGUGUCUCCUCUCCCCACCGGGCUGGGGCACCUGCUCAGACAUCUGCUCUGCCGUCUGCUCACUGGGCCCCACCAAGUGCUUGGCCAAAGUUCCAGGGGAACCACUGUGAUUCCCACAAGGUGGGUGAGGGGGAGACAGACCAGAGGGGCCUAAGCUUGCCUGUCCCUUGAGGGACUCAUGGCCCUUGGC
ensembl:lncRNA